AGCUUCUAGCCUUCUCCCUCAUUGUAUGCGCCUGCGCGCAAGAUCCUGUAGACCCACCACAGCCGUACAGCUUCGGUUUCGAGAACGUUGACGAGUACGGAACGCAGCUCUACCACAAAGAGCAGGGCGACGCCAGCAAUGCCAAGAAAGGCUCGUACGGGUACAAGGAUGCAGCAGGCCUGUUCAGGCGCGUCGAGUACGUGGCUGACCUGAACGGCUACCGGGCCACCGUGGAUACCAACGAACCGGGAACGGCACCUGGCCAGACCGGCGACGCAAUUUUCAACGCCAACCCAAUCGUUGUCCAAAUCGCUAAGUCGGCCUCCGC